ACGAACGCUGGCGGCGUGCUUAACACCUGCAAGUCGAACGCUGAAGCUUGGUGCUUGCACUGGGUGGAUGAGUGGCGAACGGGUGAGUAAUACGUGAGUAACCUGCCCUUGACUCUGGGAUAAGCCUGGGAAACUGGGUCUAAUACUGGAUACGACAUGUCACCGCAUGGUGGUGUGUGGAAAGGGUUUUACUGGUUUUGGAUGGGCUCACGGCCUAUCAGCUUGUUGGUGGGGUAAUGGCUCACCAAGGCGACGACGGGUAGCCGGCCUGAGAGGGUGACCGGCCACACUGGGACUGAGACACGGCCCAGACUCCUACGGGAGGCAGCAGUGGGGAACAUUGCACAAUGGGCGGAAGCCUGAUGCAGCGACGCCGCGUGAGGGAUGACGGCCUUCGGGUUGUAAACCUCUUUCAGCACGGAAGAAGCGAAAGUGACGGUACGUGCAGAAGAAGCGCCGGCUAACUACGUG
rnacentral:rRNA from 1 species